rnacentral:rRNA from 1 species
GCCCUUAACUAUGGGAUANGNCNGGGAAACUGGGUCUAGUACCGGAUAUGACUCCUCAUCGCAUGGUGGGGGGUGGAAAGCUUUAUUGUGGUUUUGGAUGGACUCGCGGCCNAUAAGCUUGUUGGUGAGGUAAUGGCUUACCAAGGCGACGACGGGUACCCGGCCUGACAGGGUGACCGGCCACACUGGGACGGAGACACGGCCCUUACUCCUACAGGAGGCAACAGUGGGGAAUAUUGCACAAUGNGGGCAAGCCUGAUGCAUAUUAGCCGCGUGAGGGAUGACGGCCUUCGGGUUGUAAACCUCUUUCAGUAGGGAAGAAGCGAAAGUGACGGUACCUGCAGAAGAAGCGCCGGCUAACUACGUGCCAGCAGCCGCGGUAAUACGUAGGGCGCAAGCGUUAUCCGGGAAUUAUUGGGCGUAAAGAGCUCGUAGGCGGUUUGUCGCGUCUGCCGUGAAAGUCCGGGGCUCAACUCCGGAUCUGCGGUGGGUACGGGCAGACUAGAGUGAUGUAGGGGAGACUGGAAUUCCUGGUGUAGCGGUGAAAUGCGCAGAUAUCAGGAGGAACACCGAUGGCGAAGGCAGGUCUCUGGGCAUUAACUGACGCUGAGGAGCGAAAGCAUGGGGAGCGAACAGGAUUAGAUACCCUGGUAGUCCAUGCCGUAAACGUUGGGCACUAGGUGUGGGGGACAUUCCACGUUUUCCGCGCCGUAGCUAACGCAUUAAGUGCCCCGCCUGGGGAGUACGGCCGCAAGGCUAAAACUCAAAGGAAUUGACGGGGGCCCGCACAAGCGGCGGAGCAUGCGGAUUAAUUCGAUGCAACGCGAAGAACCUUACCAAGGCUUGACAUGAACCGGUAAUACCUGGAGACAGGUGCCCCGCUUGCGGUCGGUUUACAGGUGGUGCAUGGUUGUCGUCAGCUCGUGUCGUGAGAUGUUGGGUUAAGUCCCGCAACGAGCGCAACCCUCGUUAUAUGUUGCCAGCACGUGAUGGUGGGGACUCAUAGGAGAUUGCCGGUGUCACCUGGGAGGAAGGUGGGGACGACGUCAAAUCAUCUUGCCCAUUAAGUUUUAGGCUUCACGCAAGCUGCAAUGGCCCGUACAUAGGGUCCCGAUCCUUCGAGGUGGACCUAAUCCCAAAAAACCGGUCUCAGUUCGGAUGGGCGUAUGCAACUUGACCCCUUGAAGUGGGAGUCGCUAGUAAUGGCAGAUCAGCAACCAUGCGGUGAAUACGUUCCAGGCCCUUGUACACACCGCCCGUCACGUCAGCAAA